rnacentral:rRNA from 1 species
AUUGAACGCUGGCGGCAUGCCUAACACAUGCAAGUCGAACGCCCCGCAAGGGGAGUGGCGAACGGGUGAGUAACGCGUGGGAACCUACCCAGCAGUUGGGGAUAACCGCGGGAAACUGCGGCUAAUACCGAAUACGUCCUAAGGGAGAAAGAUUUAUCGCUGUUGGAGGGGCCCGCGUCGGAUUAGCUAGUUGGUGAGGUAACGGCUCACCAAGGCAUCGAUCCGUAGCUGGUCUGAGAGGAUGAUCAGCCACACUGGGACUUAGACACGGCCCAGCCUCCUACGGGAGGCAGCAGUGGGGAAUAUUGGACAAUGGGGGCAACCCUGAUCCAGCAAUGCCGCGUGAGUGAUGAAGGCCUUAGGGUUGUAAAGCUCUUUUGCCGGGGACGAUGAUGACGGUACCCGGAGAAUAAGCCCCGGCUAACCUCGUGCCAGCCGCCGCCGUAAAAC